rnacentral:lncRNA from 13 species
CCGACAUAGUCAGAUAGAAACAUCACACGUGCUUCACUUCAGGAUAAAAGCUCCAUACUCAUUGCAAGGAACAUGGGGAGAGCUGAAGGCCAUUUUCCUGCUAACACAGGAAUAGAAAACUAAAUACCGCAUGUUCUCACUUACAAGUGGGAGGCCUCCAAGUCCACGCCUAGCCAUUACAGCCUUGGUGACCUGCACAUACACCUCUGGAUGAUCCACAGGAGCCAAAGAGUCUGAAGUAACCACAAGUAACCAGGUGGCCACAGAAAGAAAUGAGACA